GUCGAGUGCGCGUCUGUAGCAAUACAGAUGGCGCACGGCGCACGGGUGCGUAACACGUGGGUAAUCUGCCCUUCGAUGGGGAAUAUCUUCGGGAAACCGAAGCGAAUUCCGCAUAACAUUCCUUGAACUUCGGUUUGGGGACUCAAAGCCGUAAGGCGUCGGAGGAGGAACCCGCGCACGAUUAGCUAGUUGGUAGGGUAACGGCCUACCAAGGCUUUGAUCGUUAGCUGGUCUGAGAGGAUGGCCAGCCACACUGGAACUGAGACACGGUCCAGACUCCUACGGGAGGCAGCAGUGGGGAAUCUUGCACAAUGGGCGAAAGCCUGAUGCAGCGACGCCGCGUGGGGGAUGAAGCUUUUCGGAGUGUAAACCCCUUUCGACCCGGACGAAUGCCCCGCAAGGGGACUGACGGUACGGGUAUAAGAAGCCCCGGCUAACUACGUGCCAGCAGCCGCGGUAAGACGUGGGGGGCCAGCGUUGCUCGGAAUUACUGGGUGUAAAGGGUUCGUAGGCGGUGUGGCAAGUCGGGAGUGAAAUCUCUGGGCUUAACUCAGAGUCUGCUUCCGAAACUGCUGUGCUUGAGUGUGGGAGAGGCGCGUGGAAUUGCAGGUGUAGCGGUGAAAUGCGUAGAUAUCUGCAGGAACACCCGUG
rnacentral:rRNA from 1 species